AUGAGUGCCUUUUGUUGGAACUGUAGCGGAGCGGGUAAACCUGCGACAGUUCGAGAAAUUCGCGAGUUCGCGAUGAAGUUUACCCCUACCAUGCUAUGUAUUGUUGAAACACAGAUAAGCAGAGCACGUGUAGAAGCUUUAGUUGGAAUUUUAGGUUUUGAUAAUUCGUAUGCAAUAAACAAUCAAGUAAGAAGUGGAGGAUUGGGUAUGUUUUGGAAUAACAAUUGUAAUGUUGAAAUUUUGGGAGACUUUGCGUACCACAUUGAUGCUAGGGUCACAGAGACGGGUCAGGACCCGUGGUGCAUCACAUGCAUGUAUGGGGAGGCCCAAACACAUCUAAGGCACCAAACUUGGGAUGUCCUCAAGGGAAUCAACACCAUGAGCGGUUUACCUUGGCUUUGUUUUGACGACUUCAAUGAAGUGCUACUUCCGGAGGAGCACGAUGGAGUAGCGGAGAGAAGUGACACACAGAUACAAGCCUUCCACGAUGUAGUUGAUGUGUGCAUGCUCAUGGAUCUUGGCUACCAGGGACGACCCUGGACUUUUGAGAAGAAGGUUACAUGA
rnacentral:rRNA from 1 species